GAUCCUGGCUCAGGAUGAACGCUGGCGGCGUGCUUAACACAUGCAAGUCGAACGAAGCACUUGAUUUGAUUUUCUUCGGAGAUGAAGAUCUUGUGACUGAGUGGCGGACGGGUGAGUAACGCGUGGGCAACCUGCCUUGUACAGGGGGAUAACAGUUAGAAAUGACUGCUAAUACCGCAUAAGACCACAGCACCACGUGGUGCAGGGGUAAAAACUGAGGUGGUACAAGAUGGGCCCGCG
rnacentral:rRNA from 1 species